rnacentral:rRNA from 1 species
AUUGAACGCUGGCGGCAUGCUUUACACAUGCAAGUCGAACGGUAACAGGCCGCAAGGUGCUGACGAGUGGCGAACGGGUGAGUAAUGCAUCGGAACGUGCCCAGUCGUGGGGGAUAACGCAGCGAAAGCUGCGCUAAUACCGCAUACGAUCUAUGGAUGAAAGCGGGGGACCGAAAGGCCUCGCGCGAUUGGAGCGGCCGAUGUCAGAUUAGGUAGUUGGUGGGGUAAAAGCUCACCAAGCCAACGAUCUGUAGUUGGUCUGAGAGGACGACCAGCCACACUGGGACUGAGACACGGCCCAGACUCCUACGGGAGGCAGCAGUGGGGAAUUUUGGACAAUGGGCGCAAGCCUGAUCCAGCAAUGCCGCGUGCAGGAAGAAGGCCUUCGGGUUGUAAACUGCUUUUGUCAGGGAAGAAAUCUUCUGGGUUAAUACCUCGGGAGGAUGACGGUACCUGAAGAAUAAGCACCGGCUAACUACGUGCCAGCCGCCGCCGUAAGAC